GGAAUAUUGCGCAAUGGGCGAAAGCCUGACGCAGCGACGCCGCGUGGGGGAUGAAGGUCUUCGGAUUGUAAACCCCUUUCGGGAGGGAAGAUGGAAUGGGGUAACCCAUUCGGACGGUACCUCCAGAAGCAGCCACGGCUAACUUCGUGCCAGCAGCCGCGGUAAUACGAAGGUGGCAAGCGUUAUUCGGAUUUACUGGGCGUACAGGGAGCGUAGGCGGCUCGGUAAGCCCUUUGUGAAAUCUCCAGGCUUAACCUGGAAAAGUCGGAGGGGACUGCCGGGCUAGAGGACGGGAGAGGAGCGCGGAAUUCCCGGUGUAGCGGUGAAAUGCGUAGAGAUCGGGAGGAAGGCCGGUGGCGAAGGCGGCGCUCUGGAACGUUUCUGACGCUGAGGCUCGAAAGCGUGGGGAGCAAACAGGAUUAGAUACCCUGGUAGUCCACGCCUUAAACUAUGAAUACUAAGUGUCGGCAGUUUACUGCCGGUGCCGCAGCUAACGCAUUAAGUAUUCCGCCUGGGAAGUACGGCCGCAAGGUUGAAACUCAAAUGAAUUGACGG
rnacentral:rRNA from 1 species